GGCUAUGCCGGAGGAUAUUUAUUUCUUUGCCUGUCAUUUAAUUAUUGCUCAAUUCGCAAAAAUCCUCUGCAUUUUUCGCUCUUUUUCUACAAAGCGCUGAAGGUCAUAAUCCCCUCAGUUAACGAACAUAGUGAUUAAAAAGAGGAAUUCUAUGACUAUCCCUGCAUUCGGUUUAGGUACUUUUCGCCUGAAAGACGACGUGGUUAUCGCUUCUGUGAAAACGGCGCUUGAACUGGGCUACCGUGCUGUCGACACUGCGCAAAUCUAUGAUAAUGAAGCGGCUGUUGGACAGGCGAUUGCUGAGAGCGGCGUACCACGUAGCGAGCUGUACAUCACCACCAAGAUCUGGAUUGAAAACCUUAGCAAAGACAAACUAAUCCCAAGCCUGAAAGAGAGCCUGAAAAAACUGCGUACCGAUUAUGUCGAUCUGACGCUGAUCCACUGGCCAUCUCCGGGUGAUGCCGUGUCUGUCGAAGAAUUUAUGCUGGCAUUGCUGGAAG
rnacentral:rRNA from 1 species